rnacentral:rRNA from 1 species
CCCUUAGACGCUCUAGGCGGCACGCGCGCUACAAUGGGUGGUAGAACGUGUAACUGCUCCCGAAAGGGAGGGUGAACCACGAAUACUUACCCGUGAAUGGGAUAGUUUGUUGCAAUUUUCGGACUUGAACUAGGAAUCCCUUGUAAGAAUGCUCAAGAAUAGCGUGCUGAAUACGUCCCUGCCGUUUGUACACACCGCCCGUCGUUUCUUCCGACUGAUACUCAUUGUGAGUUGCAAGGAUUCUUAUUGAAAAAUUGCUGUGAAUGCUUUGUAUUGGAGGAAGAAAAAGUCGUAACA